rnacentral:rRNA from 1 species
CAGCUAACUAUAGAAUACUUGACGAUGAGGGACGACAGUUUGGGGAGCAAACAGGAUUAGAUACCCUGGUAGUCCAAACCGUAAAUUAUGCUUGCUAGAUGUUUUUAUCAAUUUAUUGGUAGGAGUGUCGUAAUCUAACGAGUUAAGCAAGCCGCCUGGGUAGUAUAUUCGCAAGAAUGAAACUCAAAGGGAUAGGCGGGGGAACACACAAGCAGUGGAUUAUCUAGAUUAAUUGGAUACUAAGCCAAGAAUCUUACCUAGGAUUGACAUGUAUUGUGUCUGCGGUGAAAGUCGCAUAUCCGUAGCAAUACGGAGCUUUACACAGGUGGUGCAUGGUCGUCGUCAGCUCGUGCCGCAAGGUGUCUAGUUAAGUCUGGAAACGAGCGCAACCCUCGUGUUUAGUUAGUAUGUCUAAACAGACUGCUCGGGUAACCGAGAGGAAGGAGAGGAUGACGUCAGAUCCUCAUGCCCCUUACACCUAGGGCCUCAUAGAUAAUACAAUGGGUAGGUACAGCGAGAAGCGAUACCGCGAGGUGGAGCAAAUCUUUAAAACUACCCCUAGUUCGGAUUGUAGUCUGGAACUCGACUACAUGAAGUUGGAAUUGCUAGUAAUGGCAGAUCAGCCAUGCUGCCGUGAAUACGUCCCUGUUCCUUGCACUCACCGCCCGUCAAACCAUGGGAGCUGAGGCUCUUUGAAGACUCAUUAUAUGGGUUAAGGAGGGAAUCAGUGACUGGGGUUAAGUCGUAACAAGGCAUCCCUACCGGAAGGUGGGGAUA